UCAAAGAUUCAAAUUUACGUCAACGUCCGUUACGUUGGUGACGUCACCGCGAGCGCGAGAAGUCGAACUGAGGAGCAGAAACCGUUGUUAGUGUUAGUUCUGGCCCGUUUGGACCCAAACUAAAGUGUAUCAGUAUGAAGCAGGCGGUGACGGCGCAGUGGUUCACUCUCGGAGCUCGGUUCACUAAUGACCGAAUCACCGAGGAACCGACCAAAGAUAACUCACACCCGCACGGAGAAGAACUAGAGGAGGAGAAGAUGAGCUGGAGUGGGGCAAAGAGAACUGCAUUCAGAUCAAACGGAUACAAGAGUGGCCGAGUUGUUUGAGGAUCUGAAGAAUUGAGUGUCACAAUUCAACAUGCACAUCAGCGAAACUUCUCCCUCUGACUACACCAGCACGCACACACAGAAAUUCAUAGUGCAGGUGGCGAUUGCAGGCGCAUUUUAUCCGAACUGCUUCCUCCAGGGAACUGUGGACGAGGAGCUCGCCUCCAAGGAGCUCUAUGAAAACAACCCCAGGACCACCAUAGUGGUGUGUAAUCUCCCUCCAUUUGCAUUCCUCUACCAUAAACAGCUCCAGUCACUCUUCAGACACUGUGGUCAAGUCAAAUCCAUCUCCUUUGACAGCUCCAGGGCCUAUGUAGAGUUCUACCGCUCGUCAAUGAGAGGUUCUGGCGUUCUCCCAGAGGUCUCUCUGUCUCUCCUCCUCGCACAGCAGAGACUUCCUCUCCAUCUCAACGUUUAACCCGCUGGAGAGGUGGAGACUUGGGCAGGGGGGUAGUGUAUCUCACACCUCAGAUAUACACGGGUGAAUGUGGAUUUUCAGAAUCAGUCAGUGAGCCCUGUCGGGGUUCUGAGCAGCUCCAUUGAGUUGGAGAAUCUUCCGUCUAACCCUGUCUUCAUCGUCAAUAUCACCGAGGUGUCUGUUCCGCCUCUUUCACUUUCAGUGCACAAAUAAAAAAAAAGCAAUGGCUCGUGUGUGUGUGUGGGUCAUCGAAGUGGGGUUUUCAGGCUCACGAGGCAAGUCUGUAGAAACAGGUGGCUGACAGUGGCCGUUAAUACACGGGCGCUCUGCCCACUUCCUGUCUCACUUUAUCCAAAUCUUCUGUGUCUCGCCCCUUUCUCUGAAACUCACACCAAACUACUACAGAGCCAAAAUACUGCAUGUCAUGGGGAGUAAUGUGGAGGUGUUCUUUGUGGACUUUGGAAACACUUCCAAGGUGCCAUGUAACUCUCUCUGGAACUUCCUGCUGACCGGCAAGCUCUGCAUUUCAGGCUCAGGAGUUCAGCGUGGCGUGUUUGGCAUCAUCGGCACAGUCAGUCAAGAACUGCAGUUCAUAGAAACCUCCUCACGGCUAAAGCUGCAGAGAUGGAGGUCGAGGGGACCAUGAAGAGGCGGCUCCAGCUGGCAUCAGAGCGAGAGUGUGGGUGCAAGAGCAGACUUUUGAUAAAGGAGGGUAUUUACAGUGUUUUAACUGGUUGUGUUUGAGUUGUGCAGGCUUGUGUCACCUGACUUAAAGAAGGCAUUGUUUGAAGGGCUUGAUCAGCACCUCCCACGGCUCCUGCAGUUGUACAACACCGAGAGGCAGUGAAAUACCCGAAAUCCAACAUGUGAUGACCCGCAUUGAUCAAGAGAAAAUCCUAAAAGAGAAUUAGGAUUCUCGGUCUUCAGUCCAUAAUAUGAAACUCAAGCGCUGCAAGACAAUGAUCCAAAGCAUAGGAGUAAGUCCAAGUACUAGAAGUAAGUGAAAGUCUGAUCUCCAGUUAUUAGAAAUGUUUGGUUGCAGUUAUUGCUGCUAAAGGUGGCACAACCAGAUUUUAAGUUUCAGGGGGCAGUUCAUUUUUCACGUUGCUGAUAGCUGUAGCUGUUGGAUAACUUUUUUUAAGUAUUGUUUAUAAAAUUGAUUAUAAAAUACUAUUAUUAACCUAUAAAGCACUAAGUGGUCUCGUGCCACAAUAUCUAAGCGACCUUUUGGUUUUAUAUGAUCCGCCACGCCUACUUAGAUCAAAAGAUGCAGGCUACUUGACGGUACCUCGAAUAGUGAAGGCUACAGCAGGGGGAAGAGCUUUCUCUUAUAGAGCCCCACAGUUAUGGAACAGUCUUCCUAUUAGUGUUUGGGACUCAGACACAGUCUCAGUGUUUAAGUCUAGGCUUAAAACGUAUUUGUUUACUCAAGCCUACCCUGACUCUAUUAUGCUAAUACACAGUCCUAAUAAUCUUUUCUCUCCCUCUCUCCUUCUGUCGAGCCAUACAUGAAUUUAUGGAGAUACUAGAGAUCCUGAUCCUUUCUGCCUCUGGAUGGAGCUCUCAUCUACUCCAAAUCGAGAUUGCUGGGACUACGGCUGCUCUUAACGCCAUACAGACUUCAUAUGAAUCCAUAAUGAACUUUUUCACACUAACUGUUGUUACCCAGAUGAGGAUGGGUUCCCUUCUGAGUCGGGUUCCUCUCAAGGUUUCUUCCUCUUAAAACAUCUUAGGGAGUUUUUCCUUGCCACCGUCGCCACUCAGUGGCUUGCUCAGUUGGGAUAAAUUCACACCUUUAAUAUCUGUA